ACUUAAAUAGCUUAAGUUUAAGAGCAUGAUAUUGAAGAUAUUAAGGUAAUAAUAGUUAUUUUUAAGUA
rnacentral:tRNA from 1 species